rnacentral:rRNA from 1 species
AGCCUGAUGCAGCCAUGCCGCGUGUGUGAAGAAGGCCUUAGGGUUGUAAAGCACUUUCAGUCAGGAGGAAAGGUUAGUAGUUAAUACCUGCUAGCUGUGACGUUACUGACAGAAGAAGCACCGGCUAACUCCGUGCCAGCAGCCGCGGUAAUACGGAGGGUGCGAGCGUUAAUCGGAAUUACUGGGCGUAAAGCGUACGCAGGCGGUUUGUUAAGCGAGAUGUGAAAGCCCCGGGCUUAACCUGGGAACUGCAUUUCGAACUGGCAAACUAGAGUGUGAUAGAGGGUGGUAGAAUUUCAGGUGUAGCGGUGAAAUGCGUAGAGAUCUGAAGGAAUACCGAUGGCGAAGGCAGCCACCUGGGUCAACACUGACGCUCAUGUACGAAAGCGUGGGGAGCAAACAGGAUUAGAUACCCUGGUAGUCCACGCCGUAAACGAUGUCUACUAGGAGCUGGGGUCUUCGGACAACUUUUCCAAGCUAACGCAUUAAGUAGACCGCCUGGG